GACACAGGUGCUGCAUGGCNGUCGUCAGCUCGUGUCGUGAGAUGUUGGNUUAGUCCCGUAACGAGCGCAACCCUUGUCCUUAGUUACCAGCACGUUAUGGUGGNCACUCUAAGGAGACUGCCGGUGACAAACCGGAGGAAGGUGGGGAUGACGUCAAGUCAUCAUGGCCCUUACGGCCUGGGCUACACACGUGCUACAAUGGUCGGUACAGAGGGUUGCCAAGCCGCGAGGUGGAGCUAAUCUCACAAAACCGAUCGUAGUCCGGAUCGCAGUCUGCAACUCGACUGCGUGAAGUCGGAAUCGCUAGUAAUCGCGAAUCAGAAUGUCGCGGUGAAUACGUUCCCGGGCCUUGUACACACCGCCCGUCACACCAUGGGAGUGGGUUGCACCAGAAGUAGCUAGUCUAACCUUCGGGAGGACGGUUACCACGGUGUGAUUCAUGACUGGGGUGAAGUCGUAACAAGGUAGCCGU
rnacentral:rRNA from 1 species